rnacentral:lncRNA from 1 species
AGGUUCUGGGAGGUGGAGUUUUUCAAGGAACACUGGCCGUUGUAUUGUUGGCAGGGGCCCCAAGGCAGCUCGCACAAUCAAAGGCAGGAAGCCUCAGCCCUGGUCCUGUGAUCCCCCCACAUACUUCAGGCUUGGAUUCUAGGCUCCAAGUGGCCAGCAUAGAAGCCUCUCUCCAAACACUGGCUCUGUGAGCCAUAGGAGCCAGCACUAGGUCAUCUUCUGACAUAGCCCUGGUAAAGGUGUGUGUGUUGGUGGCCACACCUGCCCCAAUGCUUGCUAAGGCUUUUGUGUCUAAGAAUUGAGUAUUUGUACCUAGGUGUGAGGGAACCAGGGUCAGCCAGCCUUUUUCAGAUGUGCCGGGCACACACACACUACAUCAAUGGCUUGGUGGUGGCUUCACCGCUAUCCAGGUGACUUAAAAGGGUAUUUGGAAAAUGUCCCUGGUAUACUUCAAUUCCUACUAGACAUUGUAAUGACAAUGGUAUAGGUAAGGAAGAGAGAGUUACAGCUACCAGUUGUGGAACAGAAAUAGUUGCAUGUCCAAAGAAGGCUUAGAAUGAUUGUGCAUAUGCAUUUGGCUCACAUAACCAGCAUGAACAGUCUCUCCCCAAAUCCAUUAGUGAUUCACUACCCGCCGCCAAGCACAGCCCUAAAACAAUUCUCAUCCACUUUCCUGUUAAGAAACACAGCAGCAAUAUACUUUGGCAGCAAACCAGAGCAUACAGUGUAACUUGCUCAACCUUAUCUUCCUUUCCAAAUUCUAUACUAAGCAUCUGAUGUUUUUUAGAAUAAUUUCCUUUAGAAAGCCAAGGAGAAAGCAAAUUAGGAAGAGAGAGAAGUGAGAAAUUGUUGCAUGGCUGAGGAACAAGGUGCUUAAAAUCUGAAUGAAAGUAUUUUGAGAGCAGUAUUUCAUGUGCUAAGGGUUGUAAGAAUUCUUUUAGAAAGGGGUUAGAAUUUUACUCUGCUAGUUACAAGUUUUAAAGUCAUGCUACAGCAUUAUCACCCUGGCAGGUAGGUUUUGUUAUUGUUUUAUAUUUUGUGAAAAAAAGUUUUGUAGAAGUUACAGCUAGUGGUCUUUUCCCUCCAGAGCCAGUGAUGAGUGUGGGAGCACUUCAGCUCUGUAAGGGGCCAGCAUUCUGACCUUUAACCACAUGAACUUACCUGUGUCAGCAGUUGCAGAAAGUAGCCUGUUAGGACAGCAGCUGCUAAGCAUUGCCUGGUAUUUUAGUGGGGAGACGGUUGGGACUUUUCAUGGCAUCAACACUUGCAUGCUCUGAAUCUUUGAUCAGAGAUGAGGUGCCAUUUGUGGCAUUUCCAACCCGUCUCGUGGUAGCUUUUAAAAGUGGUAGAAGAUGCUGCCCUAAUUCCCCGAGGAUGAUUGUCAUUCCAUGCAGCAUAAUGUGCCGCGAGGAGUUUUCUCAUUCCAGUUCUUUGGACUUCGUAAUAUUGGAAUUGUUUUUCCAUAAUUUCCGGCAUUCCGUAAAUAUUUGUCAAGGACAAAGAAAAGGAAUGUGGAUGUUUAUUAUUUUCAUAUGAAUGACUUUGUACACAUGACUUCCUGCUUUCAUUAUGAAGGAGGGGAAACUAGUUCCCUUGUAUGGUAACUCCAAAGUUAAAAAACUGUGCAUGUCUGAGGGGUUGAAUAUAUUUUGUAAAACUCUAAAUACAUUUGUAUUUCUGUGCUGUUCUAAAGUUUACCUUUUUACUUAUAUGAAAGAUAACUAUAUAUUUAAAUCAUGUAAAUGGAACACAGUGUAGGGGGUUUUUCCAAUCUUAUUUUUCAUCAGAUUCUCACACCCACAUAGUAUGCUGCUCAGAUUUUUUCAUGUGUGCAAUAUGAACAUUUGAACAUUUCAGUCAGGUACUGAGCCAGAAAAGGUAAUUGAAGUUUUCAGAAAGCUUCUGUACUUAGAAAAUAUUUUGUUUUCUUAAAAUAUUAGUAUUUUGUAGCUGGAAGAAUAAGAUCAAGGCUUACAUGUUUCAGGCCACUUGGUCACUGGUCCCUGAAUUUAGGAAACAUUGGAUUAAUGAGUUGGUGAAGGCAUUUAGUGGUUACAAAAAUAGUUUAAAUAUUUAUGAUUAAAGGCUUUUCACAAACCUUUUCUAAGAAAAUUUAGCUGAGAAAACUUAUAAAGUUUUCUAAGGCAGUUUAACUGUGGCACAUGUUUUGAUCAGAAAGGUAGUUUCUCUUUGCUCUGGUAGUUUUAAAGUUUGUACUAGUUCUUUAUUUCUGUUUUUUUUUAAUUGUUAAAAUUAUAAAUCACGUCUAAUCAUACUGAAUUGUAAAACUUCAAUUGUAUCUUUAUUUUAAGCAUAAAUGAGAAUAAAAUGAUCCUGUUCACCCU